AAUGAACGUUGGCGGCAUGGAUUAGGCAUGCAAGUCGAGCGAGAAGGAAAUCAAAGUUUACUUUGGUUUCCGGAAAGCGGCGAAAGGGAGAGUAACGCGUAGUUAUCUACCCCAAGGCCCGGAAUAGCUGCGGGAAACUGCAGGUAAUGCCGGAUAAUAUCCCCGGAUCAAAGGUAUGAUUCCGCCUUGGGAGGAGACUGCGUUGUACUAGCUUGUUGGUAGGGUAAUGGCCUACCAAGGCUACGAUGCAUAGCGGGCGUGAGAGCGUGGCCCGUCUCACUGGGACUGAAACACUGCCCAGACACCUACGGGUGGCUGCAGUCGAGAAUCUUCGGCAAUGGGCGAAAGCCUGACCGAGCGAUGCCGCGUGCGGGAUGAAGGCCCUCGGGUUGUAAACCGCUGUCGUAGGGGAGAAAGGACCGUUGAAGAGACGGUUUUGAUCUAUCCUAGGAGGAAGUCCGGGCUAAGUUCGUGCCAGCAGCCGCGGUAAGAC
rnacentral:rRNA from 1 species